CACGUAGGCUGUUGUGUAAGUCAGGGGUGAAAUCCCACGGCUCAACCGUGGAACUGCCCUUGAUACUGCAUGACUGGAAUCCGGGAGAGGGUGGCGGAAUUCCAGGUGUAGGAGUGAAAUCCGUAGAUAUCUGGAGGAACAUCAGUGGCGAAGGCGGCCACCUGGACCGGUAUUGACGCUGAGGUGCGAAAGCGUGGGGAGCAAACAGGAUUAGAUACCCCAGUA
rnacentral:rRNA from 1 species